GUGAGGGUGGCUUUGUGAGGAUGGCUUUGUGUGGCUGCACAUUGCCCUUGGCCAAGCCCCGCUGCCAGGAGAGGCAGCUUGGCUGCCAAACCUCCUGAACCCAAGUUACCUGAGCAAGCAGCCCUAUCCCCUCGCCUGCUUCUCACUGCCUCGCCUGCCUUGGGCCUGCCUGACCCAGGGGGUCACAUGCCUUGUUCCCCAUCAGUGGAGACCAGGGACAAGAAGACAGCUCUGUGGGAAGAGCCAGGAGGACCAUUUGGGAAAAUACAGGUUCCAGGUGUCUCUCCAGACCUCGAGAGUUGGUGUCUCCUGGGGAGAGGCCCUGAUGAGAUCUGGGGAGAUUCGGAUCUGAUGAGAUUCAGGGAGCCGUGGUCUCUCCGUAAUUGAGGAGAUGGGACACACAGGACAAGCUGCAGGCUGGCGAGGAGGUUCACUUUCUAUUUUGAAGACCUGCUUCUUCCUCAGGUACCUGAUCUUGAAAAUGACCUCCCCUUUCAGGUCUUGCUUCCCCUCAACCCAGACACCCACUCGCCCAAGGGUCUUCCAAGCUGGCUGAGUUGGAACCUGCGUUUUUUAACCACAAGGAAAAGAAGCCCAGAGCUACCAAGAAUAAUAUUUUAUUGACUUGGAAUGAGUUUUGGAAUCUGUAUUUUUAACAAGCUGCCCAGUGAAAACCAUUUCCUCCUCGUCGUGGCGCAGGUCCAGAGGCUGCGCCCAUCUCUCCCACGUCAACAGUCCUGUGUCCUUGGCGAAGGACUGUUCUCUCAUUCAGUGCCUUUCCUCUCUUCCUGGGCCAAAUCCCUG
rnacentral:lncRNA from 1 species